ACGGUCCCCAGCAAGCACUCUGCUCCCCCGUCAGGGCCCCUCCCAGUGACAGAAAAGCAGCCCAGGGGGAAGGGGCAGGAGGCUUGCAAUACCACACUCAAGGCCUGGCACUGGAAGUGCUGAGAGCACAGCGCUGAGCUGGUCAGCUUGCUUCUGAUGCACAGGGAGGCCGCCAGGACCCAGGCCCAAGCUGGGGCGUGGCGCAGCUGUGGGGAAGCAGCUCAUCUUAGCUGAGCAGAAAGGAUUCAAAACUCCAGGCCACUAUACUGAGGUCCAAAUUCCAGCUCUACUACCUCCUAGGUAGUGACCUUUAAACGUACAUUUCAUUCCUUGGAGCCUCAGUUUCUUCAUCUGCAGAUU
rnacentral:lncRNA from 10 species